UAAGGAAUCUUCCACAAUGGACGAAAGUCUGAUGGAGCAACGCCGCGUGCAGGAUGACGGUCUUCGGAUUGUAAACUGCUUUUAUAUGGGAAGAUUAUGACGGUACCAUAUGAAUAAGGACCGGCUAACUACGUGCCAGCAGCCGCGGUAAUACGUAGGGUCCAAGCGUUAUCCGGAAUCACUGGGCGUAAAGCGUGCGUAGGUGGCGUGUUAAGUGAGAUGUUAAAUCGUGUGGCUCAACCAUAUCGAUGCAUCUCAUACUGGCAUGCUAGAGGACAGCAGAGGCAAGUGGAAUUACUAGUGUAGCAGUGAAAUGCGUAGAUAUUAGUAGGAACACCAAUGGCGAAGGCAGCUUGCUGGGCUACUCCUGACACUGAGGUACGAAAGCGUGGGGAGCGAACAGGAUUAGAUACCCCCGUAGUCC
rnacentral:rRNA from 1 species